GCUUGUCUCAAAGAUUAAGCCAUGCAUGUCUUAGUGUAAAUAACUCUUAUGAAACUGCGAAUGGCUCAUUAAAUCAGUUAUCAAAUACGUGAUGGUCGCCUACUACAUGGAUAACCGUAGUAAUUCUAGAGCUAAUACAUGCUAAAAAUCCCGACUUCGGAAGGGAUGUAUUUAUUAGAUUAAAAACCAAUGCCCUCUGGGCUCUCUGGUGAUUCAUGAUAACUUCUCGAAUCGCAUGGCCUUGCGCCGGCGAUGGUUCAUUCAAAUUUCUUCCCUAUCAACUUUCGAUGUUUGGGUAGUGGCCAAACAUGGUUGCAACGGGUAACGGAGGGUUAGGGCUCGACCCCGGAGAAGGAGCCUGAGAAACGGCUACUACAUCCAAGGAAGGCAGCAGG
rnacentral:rRNA from 1 species